rnacentral:rRNA from 1 species
GACGAACGCUGGCGGCGUGGAUUAGGCAUGCAAGUCGAACGGUAGGAUACCUUCGGGUAUCUGAGAGUGGCGAACGGGUGAGUAACACGUAGGUGAUCUACCCUCAAGAUUGGGACAACCCAGGGAAACUUGGGCUAAUACCGGAUGAAAGCAGCAGUGAUGUUGUUUGAAAGGUGGCGUAAGCUGCCGUUUGGGGAUGAGCCUGCGCUCUAUUAGUUAGUUGGCGGGGUAAAGGCCCACCAAGGCGAUGAUAGAUAGGCGGCCUUAACGGGUGGUCGCCCACACUGGGAUUGAGAUACGGCCCAGACUCCUACGGGAGGCAGCAGUCGAGAAUAGUCUACAAUGGCCGAAAGGCUGAUAGUGCGACGCCGCGUGAACGAAGAAGCCCUUCGGGGUGUAAAGUUCUUUUAUAUGUGAGCAGUGCUUUCUAUGUGAACAGCAUGGGGAGAGAGAUAUUAGCAUAUGAAUAAGCAACGGCUAACUCCGUGCCAG